GGGUGAGUAACGCGUAAUCAACCUGCCCUUCAGAGGGGGACAACAGUUGGAAACGACUGCUAAUACCGCAUACGAUCUGACCUCGGCAUCGGGACUGGAUGAAAGGUGGCCUCUACAUGUAAGCUAUCACUGAAGGAGGGGAUUGCGUCUGAUUAGCUAGUUGGAGGGGUAACGGCCCACCAAGGCGAUGAUCAGUAGCCGGUCUGAGAGGAUGAACGGCCACAUUGGGACUGAGACACGGCCCAGACUCC
rnacentral:rRNA from 1 species